rnacentral:antisense_RNA from 1 species
GCCAGAUGAGCCGCCAGCGGCCUUCGUGUU